GGAAAGUAAACAUCAGCACAUUUGGUGCAGAUCUUUUCAGGUUUGGAAAGCCAUUUCUUUAUUGCCGAGCGCGGGUCUGAGAAGUGAGAAGUGGUUCCGAGAGGUGGCCCCAGGAAGAUGUCAGCGCGUGCCUUCAAUCCUGCGAUGGCACCCGUACCUCACUGUCGGGAUGCAAUAAACACAGGCAGCCCCCAGAAGAUGGCAGCUCAUUCUGGAACCAACUGAGACAGAGCUUCUGCUUUCAUGCUAUAAUACUUGCUGGAGUGGAUAAGAUUUGCAUUGAAAAUUGUGCGACUUUCUUUUUGCUUUUGUUAAUUUCUUGUAAGACGCCUGCAAAUUAAACGGCAUAGCCCAACUGGUGCUCCAACUAUUUUUUCUGGCUCUCUCACAAUCUGUCCAUCGCUCACAACUACUUUACUUUGCAAGGAUCUGUUAAUGAUUAAUUAUGUAUUUUAAAAAUAUCAUACUGAUUUUCAGUUUUGUUGAUGCACCUUUUACUUAUUUUCUCUCCCAUGCUCUCUAUGAAAGGCUUUAUUUGUACCAUGUAAUAUAAAUUAAUUUUUUUGCAAAUGUUACAGUCCUCAACAAUGGCCAAUAAAUGGUAUUUUAAUUAAGAUUUA